rnacentral:rRNA from 1 species
UUUUGACUCGAAGGAUCAUAAUGAGUUAGGGUCUCCUAGGCCCGAGACUUCCCAAGCCUUUGUGCUUAUUAGACCUACAGUUUGCUUCAGGCAGGCCCGUCUUAAUCUGACCGCUGGAGGACCGCCUAAUGCGGGUGUUACCUCUGGCCAGUGUCUGCCGAUAGCCUAAUCUCCUAACUCUGGAUCAAUCCUGAUUUUCCAUGUCUAAGUGAUUUUAUUCAAUUAAAAGCAAAAACUUUCAACAACGGAUCUCUUGGUUCUGGCAUCGAUGAAGAACGCAGCGAAAUGCGAUAAGUAAUGCGAAUUGCAGAAUUCCAGUGAGUCAUCGAAUCUUUGAACGCACAUUGCGCCUUUUGGUAUUCCGAAGGGCAUGCCUGUUCGAGCGUCAUUAUCACCCCCUCAAAGCCCCUGUGCUUGGUGUUGGACGGCUUGGUGGAGCGAGUUCACACUUUCCACCCCUCCUAAAAGACAAUGACGGCGGCCUGCGGAACACCCCGGUACACUGAGCUUCUUUAUUGAGCACGUAUCGGCAUGAAGGGUGCCCGGGACCCGGUCUUCUCACCCUUUCACGGGAACACCUCUUUUUCUCUGUGUUAGGGUGAUGGUCUCAUCAGGUACUCGACCUCGCAAAGG